rnacentral:rRNA from 1 species
GUAACGCGUAUGCAAUCUACCCUUUACUGGGGAAUAGCCCGGAGAAAUUCGGAUUAAUGCCCCAUAUGCCCACAGAAUCGCAUGGUUCAGUGGGGAAAGUUCCGACGGUAAAGGAUGAGCAUGCGUCCCAUUAGCUAGUUGGUGAGGUAACGGCUCACCAAGGCGACGAUGGGUAGGGGGCCUGAGAGGGUGAUCCCCCACACUGGUACUGAGACACGGACCAGACUCCUACGGGAGGCAGCAGUGAGGAAUAUUGGGCAAUGGAGGCAACUCUGACCCAGCUAUGCCGCGUGCAGGAAGACGGCCCUCUGGGUUGUAAACUGCUUUUGUUUGGGAAUAAACCCUCCUACGUGUAGGAGGCUGAAGGUACCUUACGAAUAAGCAUCGGCUAACUCCGUGCCAGCAGCCGCGGUAAUACGGAGGAUGCAAGCGUUAUCCGGAUUUAUUGGGUUUAAAGGGUCCGUAGGCGGAUCUUUAAGUCAGUGGUGAAAGCCCACAGCUCAACUGUGGAACUGCCAUUGAUACUGGAGAUCUUGAGUGUAGUAGAAGUAGGCGGAAUAGGGCAUGUAGCGGUGAAAUGCAUAGAUAUGCCCUAGAACACCGAUUGCGAAGGCAGCUUACUAUGUUACAACUGACGCUGAGGGA